GAUGAACGCUGACAGAAUGCUUAACACAUGCAAGUCGAUUCAAGUUACCUUCGGGUAAUGAGGAUGGCGGACGGGUGAGUAACGCGUAAGGAACUUGCCUCUUGGUCUGGGACAACUGUUGGAAACGACAGCUAAUACCGGAUAUUAUGAGAUUCUCGCAUGGGAAACUUAUGAAAGCUAUAUGCGCCAAGAGAGAGCCUUGCGUUCCAUUAGCUAGUUGGUGGGGUAACGGCCCACCAAGGCGACGAUGGAUAGCCGGCCUGAGAGGGUGAACGGCCACAAGGGGACUGAGACACGGCCCUUACUCCUACGGGAGGCAGCAGUGGGGAAUAUUGGACAAUGGGCCACAAGCCUGAUCCAGCAAUUCUGUGUGCACGAUGAAGGUCUUCGGAUUGUAAAGUGCUUUCAGUUGGGAAGAAGAAAGUGACGGUACCAACAGAAGAAGCGACGGCUAAAUACGUG
rnacentral:rRNA from 1 species